CCGUUUUAAAAACAUCUUCAUUAAAUCUUAAUACUACUAUAGAAUUCGAUCUAUUUCUAUUUCUGAGCGAAGUUUAUUCAAAAGUUUAGACGCCUCUGCUUCCAUAUAUUUCCCACGAUCUAAGCGAUAUUUAUUUCUUAUCCUUCAUUUCGCUAACUUUCACAAUCUAAGAUACCGUGAUUUGACGAGACCUGGCCGUUGCGAAAUUUCAUAAAGAA